rnacentral:rRNA from 1 species
UUGAUCAUGGCUCAGAUUGAACGCUGGCGGCAGGCCUAACACAUGCAAGUCGAGCGGCAGCACAGAGAAACUUGUUUCUCGGGUGGCGAGCGGCGGACGGGUGAGUAAUGCCUGGGAAAUUGCCCUGAUGUGGGGGAUAACCAUUGGAAACGAUGGCUAAUACCGCAUGAUGCCUACGGGCCAAAGAGGGGGACCUUCGGGCCUCUCGCGUCAGGAUAUGCCCAGGUGGGAUUAGCUAGUUGGUGAGGUAAGGGCUCACCAAGGCGACGAUCCCUAGCUGGUCUGAGAGGAUGAUCAGCCACACUGGAACUGAGACACGGUCCAGACUCCUACGGGAGGCAGCAGUGGGGAAUAUUGCACAAUGGGCGCAAGCCUGAUGCAGCCAUGCCGCGUGUGUGAAGAAGGCCUUCGGGUUGUAAAGCACUUUCAGUUGUGAGGAAGGUGGUGUCGUUAAUAGCGGCAUCAUUUGACGUUAGCAACAGAAGAAGCACCGGCUAACUCCGUGCCAGCAGCCGCGGUAAUACGGAGGGUGCGAGCGUUAAUCGGAAUUACUGGGCGUAAAGCGCAU